rnacentral:rRNA from 2 species
UUGAAGAGUUUGAUCAUGGCUCAGAUUGAACGCUGGCGGCAGGCCUAACACAUGCAAGUCGAGCGGUAGCACAGAGAGCUUGCUCUCGGGUGACGAGCGGCGGACGGGUGAGUAAUGUCUGGGAAACUGCCUGAUGGAGGGGGAUAACUACUGGAAACGGUAGCUAAUACCGCAUAACGUCGCAAGACCAAAGUGGGGGACCUUCGGGCCUCAUGCCAUCAGAUGUGCCCAGAUGGGAUUAGCUAGUAGGUGGGGUAAUGGCUCACCUAGGCGACGAUCCCUAGCUGGUCUGAGAGGAUGACCAGCCACACUGGAACUGAGACACGGUCCAGACUCCUACGGGAGGCAGCAGUGGGGAAUAUUGCACAAUGGGCGCAAGCCUGAUGCAGCCAUGCCGCGUGUGUGAAGAAGGCCUUCGGGUUGUAAAGCACUUUCAGCGGGGAGGAAGGCGAUAAGGUUAAUAACCUUGUCGAUUGACGUUACCCGCAGAAGAAGCACCGGCUAACUCCGUGCCAGCAGCCGCGGUAAUACGGAGGGUGCAAGCGUUAAUCGGAAUUACUGGGCGUAAAGCGCACGCAGGCGGUCUGUCAAGUCGGAUGUGAAAUCCCCGGGCUCAACCUGGGAACUGCAUUCGAAACUGGCAGGCUAGAGUCUUGUAGAGGGGGGUAGAAUUCCAGGUGUAGCGGUGAAAUGCGUAGAGAUCUGGAGGAAUACCGGUGGCGAAGGCGGCCCCCUGGACAAAGACUGACGCUCAGGUGCGAAAGCGUGGGGAGCAAACAGGAUUAGAUACCCUGGUAGUCCACGCCGUAAACGAUGUCGAUUUGGAGGUUGUGCCCUUGAGGCGUGGCUUCCGGAGCUAACGCGUUAAAUCGACCGCCUGGGGAGUACGGCCGCAAGGUUAAAACUCAAAUGAAUUGACGGGGGCCCGCACAAGCGGUGGAGCAUGUGGUUUAAUUCGAUGCAACGCGAAGAACCUUACCUGGUCUUGACAUCCACAGAACUUAGCAGAGAUGCUUUGGUGCCUUCGGGAACUGUGAGACAGGUGCUGCAUGGCUGUCGUCAGCUCGUGUUGUGAAAUGUUGGGUUAAGUCCCGCAACGAGCGCAACCCUUAUCCUUUGUUGCCAGCGGUUAGGCCGGGAACUCAAAGGAGACUGCCAGUGAUAAACUGGAGGAAGGUGGGGAUGACGUCAAGUCAUCAUGGCCCUUACGACCAGGGCUACACACGUGCUACAAUGGCAUAUACAAAGAGAAGCGACCUCGCGAGAGCAAGCGGACCUCAUAAAGUAUGUCGUAGUCCGGAUUGGAGUCUGCAACUCGACUCCAUGAAGUCGGAAUCGCUAGUAAUCGUAGAUCAGAAUGCUACGGUGAAUACGUUCCCGGGCCUUGUACACACCGCCCGUCACACCAUGGGAGUGGGUUGCAAAAGAAGUAGGUAGCUUAACCUUCGGGAGGGCGCUUACCACUUUGUGAUUCAUGACUGGGGUGAAGUCGUAACAAGGUAACCGUAGGGGAACCUGCGGUUGGAUCACCUCCUU